ACUAAUAAAGCCUACUAUCCAGCCAGGUCCCUCAACUAAUAAAGCCUACUAUCCAGCCAGGUCCCUCAACUAAUAAAGCCUACUAUCCAGCCAGGUCCCUCAACUAAUAAAGCCUACUAUCCAGCCAGGUCCCUCAACUAAUAAAGCCUACUAUCCAGCCAGGUCCCUCAACUAAUAAAGCCUACUAUCCAGCCAGGUCCCUCAACUAAUAAAGCCUACUAUCCAGCCAGGUCCCCCAACUAAUAAAGCCUACUAUCCAGCCAGGUCCCUCAACUAAUAAAGCCUACUAUCCAGCCAGGUCACCCAACUAAUAAAGCCUACUAUCCAGCCAGGUCCCUCAACUAAUAAAGCCUACUAUCCAGCCAGGUCCCUCAACUAAUAAAGCCUACUAUCCAGCCAGGUCCCUCAACUAAUAAAGCCUACUAUCCAGCCAGGUCACCCAACUAAUAAAGCCUACUAUCCAGCCAGGUCCCUCAACUAAUAAAGCCUACUAUCCAGCCAGGUCACCCAACUAAUAAAGCCUACUAUCCAGCCAGGUCCCUCAACUAAUAAAGCCUACUAUCCAGCCAGGUCCCUCAACUAAUAAAGCCUACUAUCCAGCCAGGUCCCUCAACUAAUAAAGCCUACUAUCCAGCCAGGUCCCUCAACUAAUAAAGCCUACUAUCCAGCCAGGUCCCUCAACUAAUAAAGCCUACUAUCCAGCCAGGUCCCUCAACUAAUAAAGUCUACUAUCCAGCCAGGUCCCUCAACUAAUAAAGCCUACUGUCCAGCCAGGUCCCUCAACUAAUAAAGCCUACUAUCCAGCCAGGUCCCUCAACUAAUAAAGCCUACUGUCCAGCCAGGUCCCUCAACUAAUAAAGCCUACUAUCCAGCCAGGUCCCUCAACUAAUAAAGCCUACUGUCCAGCCAGGUCCCUCAACUAAUAAAGCCUACUAUCCAGCCAGGUUCCUCAAGUAAUAAAGCCUACUGUCCAGUCAGGUCCCUCAACUAAUAAAGCCUACCAUCCAGCCAGGUCCCUCAACUAAUAAAGCCUACUGUCCAGCCAGGUCCCUCAACUAAUAAAGCCUACCAUCCAGCCAGGUCCCUCAACUAAUAAAGCCUACUAUCCAGCCAGGUCCCUCAACUAAUAAAGCCUACUAUCCAGCCAGGUCCCUCAACUAAUAAAGCCUACUAUCCAGCCAGGUCCCUCAACUAAUAAAGCCUACUAUCCAGCCAGGUCCCUCAACUAAUAAAGCCUACUAUCCAGCCAGGUCCCUCAACUAAUAAAGCCUACUAUCCAGCCAGGUCCCUCAACUAAUAAAGCCUACUAUCCAGCCAGGUCCCUCAACUAAUAAAGCCUACUAUCCAGCCAGGUCCCUCAACUAAUAAAGCCUACAAUCCAGCCAGGUCCCUCAACUAAUAAAGCCUACUAUCCAGCCAGGUCCCUCAACUAAUAAAGCUACUAUCCAGCCAGGUCCCUCAACUAAUAAAGCCUACUAUCCAGCCAGGUCCCUCAACUAAUAAAGCCUACUAUCCAGCCAGGUCCCUCAACUAAUAAAGCCUACUAUCCAGCCAGGUCCCUCAACUAAUAAAGCCUACUAUCCAGCCAGGUCACCCAAC